GCACUGACUUCAGCAGCACAUAUACUAAAACUGGAACAAUACAGAGAAGAUUAGCACGGCCCCUGCUCAAGGACGACAUGCAAAUUCGUGAAGCAUUCCAUAUUUUU
rnacentral:snRNA from 1 species